rnacentral:rRNA from 1 species
CCUACGGGCGGCAGCAGUGGGGAAUAUUGCACAAUGGGGGAAACCCUGAUGCAGCGACGCCGCGUGAGUGAAGAAGUAAUUCGUUACGUAAAGCUCUAUCAGCAGGGAAGAAAUACUGACCUUACGGUCAGCAGACGGUACCUGACUAAGAAGCCCCGGCUCACUACGUGCCAGCAGCCGCGGUAAUACGUAGGGGGCAAGCGUUAUCCGGAUUUACUGGGUGUAAAGGGUGCGUAGGUGGCAGGGCAAGUCAGAUGUGAAAGCCCGGGGAUCAACCCCGGUAUUGCAUUUGAAACUGUCCAGCUGGAUUGCAGGAGAGGUAAGCGGAAUGCCUAGUGUAGCGGUGAAAUGCGUAGAUAUUAGGAGGAACACCAGUGGCGAAGGCGGCUUACUGGACUGUAACUGACACUGAGGCACGAAAGCGUGGGGAGCAAACAGGAUUAGAUACCCCUGUAGUC